GUUAUCUUUUUAAGUUUUUCAAUCGAGACAACCUUGUUAAUCGAUCAAACUUAUAAUGGCAUUGGAUGCAGAGAUUUAUGCCCAAAUCGCAAUCCCACGGUAUGUUUUCCGUCAGUAACAUCAAGAGAUGCGGGCUGUAUAAAAUUUGCCACUUCAGGUGUUAUUCGUACUCAACCAAUUUCUUUCACGACUUGCGUCAGUCACCAGUUUGGAGCAUUGUUGUUACCAGUCUCAGUCGUUUCGUUCGAAAGAAAAUAUUGUUUAAACUCAAAUGAUCUGCCACUUCGUAUCCGGUUUCAAGGGACAUUCCAGCAACCCACCAAACACAGCACCUUGCCUAUCACCAGCAAUCUAGAAGUUGUACAUCACAAUUACAUCAGCUACCAUUACUAAAAAGUGAAUGUAUAUAUGGAAGAUGGGUAAUCUCCAAAUUGUAUCACCACUCAAGAGAUCUCAUUGAAGCUUAGAUAUUAGCGUACCAGCAAACAAGGGCCAGAAAGGUCGGCACUCUUGCGAAUAAGUGUACGCAGUGAUAUACCAUGUUUCAACGUACUGCCCUUCAGUUGAAAGAACCGAUAUCAAAUCAAGAUGUGAAUACAAGGAUACAUGACUGCAUUUACUGUAGACUGUAUAAGCUUUUCAUCAAAACUGACCUGUACAACAACACCCAUUGGCAUCCUUUGACAAUAUUAGGAAGGGACGACAACAAUAACUCGUACAAAUCAGUGGAAAUAAAUGCAGAUUCAUCCAUGAGAUAGGGUAAAGGCUUCUGGGGACUGUGAUGAUCGGUUGCAUCUUCAAACCCUUCAGACCCACUAGUGCUCCUUCCUGAAGUUGGCUCUUCAUAAUCUUCUUGAUUAAUUGGUGUUACCUUCUUGUCAUAUGUUGGACUAUAUUUUACAUAGUCGUCCAAGGAUUCAUCUAAAGCUUUAAAGUUCACAUUUCUAUGUUGAGCAGGAUAUGCUUGAA